rnacentral:tRNA from 1 species
GCGUAGCUUAAUGGUUAAGGUAUUCGACUCGUGAUCGAAGAGUAGCGAGUUCGAUUCCCGGCGGCGCA